CCUACGGGUGGCAGCAGUGAGGAAUAUUGGUCAAUGGGCGGGAGCCUGAACCAGCCAAGCCGCGUGAGGGAAGAAGGUACAGCGUAUCGUAAACCUCUUUUGUCAGGGAACAAAGGCGGGGACUAGUCCCCGGAUGAGGGUACCUGAAGAAAAAGCAUCGGCUAACUCCGUGCCAGCAGCCGCGGUAAUACGGAGGAUGCGAGCGUUAUCCGGAUUUAUUGGGUUUAAAGGGUGCGCAGGCGGCCUGUUAAGUCAGCGGUAAAAGCCCGGGGCUCAACCCCGGCGAGCCGUUGAAACUGGAAGACUUGAGUGUGUUUGAGGUAGGCGGAAUGCGUGGUGUAGCGGUGAAAUGCAUAGAUAUCACGCAGAACUCCGAUUGCGAAGGCAGCUUACUAAGCCAUAACUGACACUGAAGCACGAAAGCGUGGGGAUCAAACAGGAUUAGAUACCCUAGUAGUC
rnacentral:rRNA from 1 species